UGAUUUGAGGACCAGCUCCAGUGCCGCUUUGCUCACGUUGAGGCUGUGGCGCUGCCUGACUGCAGACAGGAUGUGCAGGAUGUGACAACCCUUCUCUGCAUCUACAGGCACAGGAGGACGACACACACGUCAAAACAAGACUUCAUCUUGGGAUUUGACCCUGCGGUACACCGUUCCCUCGUCUUGCAGUAUUUGCAGGACCUCCUUCAGGAGCUGGCGUAGCUGCUGGCAGGCAGACGGACCCGCCACAGGCUUCAUAACAGCAACAGAGAGGCAUAAUAACACAAUGGUGCUCAAA